rnacentral:rRNA from 1 species
AGUUAAAAAGCUCGUAGUUGAUUUCGGGUGGGUUUCAGCGGUCCGCCUAUGGUGAGUACUGCUGUGGCCUAUCUUACUGUCGGGGACCUGCUUCUGGGCUUCAUUGUCCGGGACAGGGAUUCGGCAUGGUUACUUUGAGUAAAUUGGAGUGUUCAAAGCAGGCUUACGCCGUGAACAUUUUAGCAUGGAAUAACAUGAUAGGACUCUGCCCUAUUCUGUUGGCCUGUAGGAGUGGAGUAAUGAUUAAGAGGAACAGUCGGGGGCAUUCGUAUUUCAUUGUCAGAGGUGAAAUUCUUGGAUUUAUGAAAGACGAACUACUGCGAAAGCAUUUGCCAAGGAUGUUUUCAUUAAUCAAGAACGAAAGUUGGGGGCUCGAAGACGAUUAGAUACCGUCGUAGUCUCAACCAUAAACGAUGCCGACUAGGGAUUGGCGGACGUUUUUGCAUGACUCCGUCAGCACCUUGAGAGAAAUCAAAGUUUUUGGGUUCCGGGGGGAGUAUGGUCGCAAGGCUGAAACUUAAAGGAAUUGACGGAAGGCNCCCC